UAAAUGACAAAUGAGAAAACAUACCAUAAACAUAGAAUAGUAAAAUUAAAAUGUCAUGUCGAGACAAGAAUUCCUUGCAUUAGUAACCGUUUCUGCGGUUUUUUCAUGUGUUGCUACUGUUUUAGAUAAACAUAAUCAUGGGCGAAGACGAUAGUCGAAAUGAUCACAACCAAAAUUUGACGUCUACUACAAAGUAGCCACAAACAAUGAAAUCUAGAAGAGUAGCGCACUAACUAAAUUACAGUAAGAAGCAAAA